rnacentral:misc_RNA from 1 species
AGCUAUAUCAGUUGCUGUGCGUAAAUUCGGCCGUUUUCUACGUGAACUUUCACAUAAGACUCAGGCCGCAGCCGCGGUCGCAGCAUCUAUUGCUGAGGAAUCUUUUGGAGCCAUACGCACAGUCAGGUCAUUUGCUCAAGAGGACUAUGAAGUUUCGCGCUAUUCUCAAAAAGUAGAUGAGACCUUAAGCCUUGGACUCAGGCAGGCUAAAG